rnacentral:misc_RNA from 1 species
GCAAUUUCUCUUGCACGGUCUGUCCAAAUCUUCAGCAUCUGACCAUCCAAAACCUCUGACAAUCUGUUGAGACAGUGAUCGGUUCCAAGAGACUGGGAUUUGAUAUUCUGCCACUUCCGAACUAUACUUUCUGCAAGUCUUGCAUCCAUUCUAGGAACCUCAAGAGGAUUUUCAACUGGUGAGGCAGAGGUAUCCACAUUGAUGACAUCCGAGGCAAUGGCUGAACCAGUAGCACUAGCACUAUGUUGAACUGAAGACCCAUGUCUAAAGGAAGAAAGCUUCAAUCCAACCAAAGUCAAGAAACCAACCGCUACU